CCUACGGGUGGCUGCAGUAAGGAAUAUUGGACAAUGGUCGAAAGACUGAUCCAGCCAUGCCGCGUGAAGGAUGAAGGCCCUAUGGGUUGUAAACUUCUUUUGUACGGGAAAAAACCCUCGCUCGUGAGCGAGGCUGAUUGUACUGUAAGAAUAAGGAUCGGCUAACUCCGUGCCAGCAGCCGCGGUAAUACGGAGGAUCCAAGCGUUAUCCGGAUUCAUUGGGGUGAAGGGGGGCGUGUAAGGCAGUGGAGAAAUCUCUCGGCUUAACCGGGAAACUGCCAUUGAUACUGCAAAUCUUGAGUACAUUUGAUGUGGGCGGAAUGUGUCAUGUAGCGGUGAAAUGCUUAGAUAUGACACAGAACACCGAUUGCGAAGGCAGCUCACAAAACUGUAACUGACGCUGAGGAACGAAAGCGUGGGUAUCAAACAGGAUUAGAUACCCUAGUAGUC
rnacentral:rRNA from 1 species